GAAACUAUGUCCAUCGUGGCUGAGCGUUCUCCUAAAUCUAUCUUUGCCAAGAAGGACAUCAGGAAAGCCACUUCCAAAACAGAAAAGGGGAAGAUGUAAAAGAGACGCCCUGAGACAAGUUACGCCACCUAUGUUUACAAGAUCAUGCCUUCCUCCUGGCCCGCCCACCAAGCGCUCCAUCAUCUCGUCCAGUGAGAUCCAGGACUCUGUGUGCACGCUGCUGCUGGGGGAGAGUGACAAGCACACCGUGCCCGAGGCCAGCAAGGCCGUCAUCAGUUGGUUUCGAGACCAGAUGUGGAGAAGGGGUCUCUUAAAGACUCAAGCAUUUUUGGAGCAAGACCAUGGGAAUAGAUUGGGAGCCAGCAAGACACAGAAAGGGGAGAAGAGCUGUGGAUCUGUUUUUAGACGCACCCCUGAGGGCAGAGUGAAAGAUGUGCUCUGGAAGGGCCGCUUGCUACAAGAGCUUUGAAGGGACAGGGCCUGGGCUGUGCAGCCCGUUUAUCCUUCCAACCUCACUAAUCAGCUAAGGGUCCAGGUGUGGACGAGCAAACGGAGCGUUUCCGGGGGAAGGAUGUGCCUGCGCUUCCUAGUUGCCGUAGAAACGUGACGUCAUCGUAGCGACCGUGACGACUUUUUAAUAGAGACGGAGGGGCUCUGGCAAGAGCAGGUCUCACCUUCAGCUCUUCAUGCCAGUGGCCAAGCUCCUAUCAGGCGUCUGAAGGAGGCAGCUUCUGAGGAUCUGUGCCCUGCUGGCUGCUGAACCAUCUGCUCCACAUUGAAGGGCAGCCAUCCUCAGGAGACCCCAGCACUUCACAUCCCUGCUGGGAUAUGACUUCUGACUCGAUGGACCGUCAGAGGAGGGCGUGGACUCUGAGCCUCAGAAGCAGGAGCUGACAGAGAAGAACCAAGUGUGCUGGCGCGUGUGCAGACAGGUUCCUGGAGCAAGAGUGAGGAGAUCAGGGUCCCAUCACUGGGACACUUUAGGCCAAUUUGAUAAGACAUGGUGUGGACCUGUUAACACUACAAGAGCACAAUUAUGGGACUUUUUCACCUGAUUAGUUUAAUUGCAUCAGAGAAGUAUGAAUAUCUAUUCCGUCACAAUGAAUUCCUGGCAUCUUGAGUGGGCAGAGGAGAGGAAGAGAGCGUACACGUAUUCCAUGUGCCGUCUUAGCCCCUGACUCUCCUUCUAGUGGGCCAUCAGAGGAGGGUGUGGACUCUGAGCCUCAGAAGCAGGAGCUGACAGAGAAGAACCAAGUGUGCUGGCGCGUGUGCAGACAGGUUCCUGGAGCAAGAGUGAGGAGAUCAGGGUCCCAUCACUGGGACACUUUAGUGGGCCGUCAGAGGAGGGUGUGGACUCUGAGCCUCAGAAGCAGGAGCUGACAGAGAAGAACCAAGUGUGCUGGCGCGUGUGCAGACAGGUUCCUGGAGCAAGAGUGAGGAGAUCAGGGUCCCAUCACUGGGACACUUUAGUUUCUCGAGAAUAAUACUGUGCACCAUAGCUCAGAAAGAAGAGGCUUUGCAGAAGAAUGCUGUCACAGAACACUGGGACUCUGGCUGGAGAAACCAUGAUGUACGGAGGUUAAGUAACCUGGCUGGGGGUCAUCGUGCUACCAAGACGAAAAGCAGAGACUGCUGCCUUCUGUGUCCAAAUGCCAACUGCAUGAUGCUCAGCUGCGAGCCACCUCCAAUCAAGUAGACCUUGCUCUCCUUCUGAGCCGUGUCACUCCUACAAUCUGCGUCUUCACUUCUGAUUCCAAAAUGCUAGUCCUGCCUGUGUUUAUACAAGUCAGUGUACAUGAUUCAACCUCAGUUUCCUAUUCUGUAAAAACAAGGGUGUGUGGAAAGAACACAAGGAAGGUUUUGGAGAGGAUGGAUAUGUUUAGGACCUUGGUUAUGGUCAUUGUGUUACAGGUGCAUGUGUAGGUCCAAACCUAUGAAGAUUUAUACGUUAAAUUGUGUAAUUUUUUGUCUAUCAGUUAUACCUCAAUGAAACUAUAAAAUCCAAUCUCUCCAGGAGGUAAGGUGUGGCAGUCUGCCUAAAUCUGCUUCUGCACACUGAAGUUAAGGGCUCCCAUUUUGCAGCCGUCUGGUGCAGAGUCCUAAGAAGCUGCAUCCUCUCAGCCACGCAACACCACGGGGUCCGUCAUCUGCAUGAAGAGCUCUGCCCUGGGACAUAAACAUUACACUUGCCUGCUCAACAACCACCUCUUUGUCACAUCUCUAGAUCUUGAGUGUUGAAAUGAGUGUUCAAAUGGAGACAGACAGGUCUUUCUCCAGGAGGAAAGGAUUUCCUUCCCCCAGGACAGAAUUCAGUUGCUUGGGUAGAGACAAGGAUUAUAUUGCUGUGCGAUCAGGUACGUAAAAGCCCGAGUUGUAAAUGCCUCCACAGAGUCAGAGUCUGAUGAUGUGAAGGCUGUGCUUUAGGCAAUGAGCUUUCAAAUUAAGCACGCGUUUUUUCCUCAGGUCCUGUACUUUUGCUUCAUUGAAAAGGAUUUUGCAGAUAACAAUCAUUUUUUCUGGUCACUUCAAUAAACUCUGUCUUAUUUCUUUUUCUUUCUUUCUCAAGGGAUUUCCGUUUAUGGAAUAAAUCAUCUGAAAUUAUAAUGUCUCAAAUUCUGUCAUGGGUAAAUGGGUUGUCUAAAUGCAUUGUCUAAUAUACCACAGCUAGGCAACGUAAUGGUGGUGAAAUAUAAUGGUGGCAGUAGGGAACUCUUGCAGGUUCCUGACUCUUAAGUCAGAAUACUUUUACUGUACCACAGAAAUCGGAAUGGUGAACUUUUGGGGAUGCAUCCCUUCAGUAACAUAACACAACCGUCAUAGUAAAAGCAGACGUGAAUCCUUACUGCUAAAAGUGUUUGAGUUAAUAAAGAAAUGGGUGACGGGAGACAAGCUGUCUUGAUCAAAUAUUUCUAAAUAAUGUAUGUAGAUACCCUGCCUCCAUGAAGUGAACCUUAGUUCUGCCUCCACCGCUGAGGGCAGGGCAUACUCAGUGACUCCCUUCUAAAGAACUGAGUCUGGGGGUGGAGAACAGUUCCUGUACCCUGGAGAACCUCGACAAACACCUCAGCCCAGCCAUGAGGGUCAACGUGUCCAGUGAUCCAGCGAUGUCACAUGGGUCUCAUGUCCUCCCAGAUAUCAUGUGCUGAGAAGGGCACUUGAACUCUGUGCUAUUCUUUCUCAAAACCUGUAAGCACAGUCUAAUCAAGAGAAAAAUAGCAGACUGUGCCUGCACUCCUCAAGGCUGUCAGGGUCAUGAAAACAGUCUGGCAGUUCCUCAAACAGUUCAACAGAGACUUACCACAUGACCCAGCGAUUCCACUCCUAGGUACACAGCCAGGAGAAAUGACGACACAUGUAUACCUAAAAACUUGCUCACAAAUGUACGUGGCAUCAUUAUUCAUAAUAGCCAAAAGUGGAAACAAGCCAGAUGUCCACCAGUUAAGGAAUGGACAAAUAAAAUGUGGGAUAUAAUUUGGCAAUGAAAAGGAAUGAAGUACUGAAACAUGCAACAACACGGGUGAACCUUGAAAACGGUAUGUCAGGUGAAAGAAUCCAAAUAUGCAAAGACCACAUAUUGUAUUGAAGGGGAGCAGAAUAUGCCACCUCAAAAUGCGCCACUUUGGCAUGUGGAUUAUUUUGAGGUGAAGACAAUCAAGGCCCAGAAGACUCAGGAAGAGCUUUCUACCCCCACCUUAACUGCCUGAAAGAAUUUAGAUACAGGCCCUGGUCCAGGAAGAGAGUUGUCACCAGAGAUAACUACAAAGAAUAUGCACUAGGUGUGGUGAGCUGGGGGUUGGGGGGACUCAGCAGGGUCUGUUUGUCCACAUUCCUCUCUGUGUCCCACUGUCUCUGCACAGCAUGGCAAACAUGUGUUUACCAAACCUUCAUUCAACCAUCUUCCUAUGAAUUGUCUUCCUUUCCUUUGAAGCCCCAGAACCUUAUCCCCUUCUCCUUAGCCCAGAGUGGCACAUAAACCUCAAAUGCCUGACUGUCGAGGAGCCUCUCAUACAUAUGUGGGGCUCCCAUACAUACGAAACUAAAUUUCUUUUUCUCCUGUUAAUCUGUCUUAUGUCAGUUUAAUUAUUAGACCAGCCAAAAGAACCUAGAGGGGUAGAGAAAAAUUUUUUUCUCCCCUGCAGUGUGAUUCCACUUAGAUGAAAUGUCCAGAAUAGGCAAGUCCAUGGAGAGAAAGCUAAUCUGUGGUUCCCGGGGCUGGCAAUGGGUGUGGACUUUAACUGCAUUCAAGCACAAUGGGACUUUUUGGGGUGAUGGAAACGUCUAAAACUCGAUUAUGGUAAUGGUUGUACAACUCUAUGCAGUUACUGAAAAUCAUCAAAAUGUAUGCUUAAAAUGUGUGGAUUUUGUUCUCUCUAAAUUAUAUUGCAAGAAAGCAGUUAAAAAUGUGAUAUUGGCCUGGUCUUCUCUUGUACCACGGUAAUGACCAACCUUGUUCAUAGAAAGGCCUUGAUGCACAUGUUUUAUAUCAAUUAAUAUGGCUGCCUCCCAGGCUUGCUGAUGCUAUGUCCUGUGUUCCUCGAAGCAGUGACCUAUCUC
ensembl:lncRNA